UACGAAGGGGGCUAGCGUUGCUCGGAAUCACUGGGCGUAAAGGGCGCGUAGGCGGGUUUUUAAGUCAGGGGUGAAAUCCUGGAGCUCAACUCCAGAACUGCCUUUGAUACUGAAGAUCUUGAGUCCGGGAGAGGUGAGUGGAACUGCGAGUGUAGAGGUGAAAUUCGUAGAUAUUCGCAAGAACACUAGUGGCGAAGGCGGCUCACUGGCCCGGUACUGACGCUGAGGCACGAAAGCGUGGGGAGCAAACAGG
rnacentral:rRNA from 1 species